AAAAACUGCAGGAAUAUUCCCUAGCAUUGCAGCCUCAGUUCUAAUACCAAAAUCUCCCUGCAGACUAAAUGUCUAGAGCAGCACUGUAUCAAUAGAACAUAGGGGCAGAUCUCAUACCUUCCAAGGGUAGAAAUCGCUGAGCACAGGUAAAAAUAAAAUAUUCCAGAGGGAAAUAUUAUUUUACAAAUUUUUAUAAACACUUUUGUAAAAUAAUGUACACAGCCUUGCACACUGAAAGAGUCAAAGCCAUUUAACUCUGUAUAACCACUGCAGAAUCUUUAUCUUCUUUUUUACCUGACUUCCAAUUGGCGGGUGUUACUAAAACUUUAUCACCAAAGUUAUUUCACUAGCUGAGCGUGGUGGCUCAUGCCUGUAAUCCCAACACUUUGGGAGGCCAAGGCAGGUGGAUCAUUUGAGGCCAGGAGUUUGACACCAACCUGGCCAACACGGUGAAACCUCAUCUCCACUAAAAAUACAACAAAUUGGCUGGGUGUGGUGGCGCAUACCUGUAAUCCCAGCUACUCAGAAGGCUGAGGCACGAGAAUCACUUGAGCCUGGGAGGCAUAGGUUGCAAUGAGUCAAGAUCGCGCCACUGCACUCCAGCCUGGGAGACAGAGCAAGACUGUCUCAAAAAAAAAAAAAAAAGUUAUUUCACUAGCAACAUAUAAUUACCAUAAAACAAAGGAGGGUUUUAAAUGAACUACACAUGCAAAAUACACUAGAAAAGCUAGAUAUUUUUAAAAACGUGGUGAAUUAUUUGGUAAAGCCAAAAUAUUUUAAUUCAUAAGUUACUAUUCCCCCAAUGCAUCUAUUUUGUAAAUGCUGUUUCACAUAUGAGGUUUGUAAAAAAGCAAAAUAUAUGUAUAAAAUGGCGUACAUAAAGAUGUUCUACAAAUAUAGCCAGAAGUUAUUGUUUUACUGUAUGCAAAGAGUGAUGGCAAUUUUUAAUUCAAAUGUUUUUAAAUAUUUCGAACUGAAACUAAAUCUUACCAAUGUAAAAUUGCCACAAAGACGGCUGGAAAAGAGAAAAGUUAUUAAAAGCUGCUUUAUUAUAAAAUACCAUUAAAACAAGUAUUUCAAAUGUAUUAUUUUACAUGUCUAGAAAAGAUAGCACAGAAAGCAAGAUGGCCAGCUAAUCCUGUCUCUAUGAGCAUAGGAAAAAAUCCAGGACACAAAGUAAAUUCUGAACAGAGCUUACCUCUCUGCAGCAGGGCUUGACAAGCAAAGGGAGAGACUUGAGAGGGUUUUUUUACUUCAGUUAAUUGGUAGGAGUGAUGGAAUUAUGGAAUAUUGUGACCUUUUUUGUUUUUUUUUCUUUUUAGUAUUCUAUUCCUUUAUAUGAAAUUUUUUAAAGAAGUAAAUAUAUACAGUAUGCUUCAGCUCGUUCUAACCAAGAGGUGCCACUCUAGAUCAGUUUCUCUAGCAUUCAUCAGAAGACGAUUAAAUGCAGGCAAUCACUUCCUCAGCAGCACAUCUAAAAGCCCCAUUGUGCAACUCAACCCUUGAUGAAUUGCAAGCUCUUUGCAAGCGCCCAGACUUAGGAACUACUAGAUGGCCUAGGAGACUUAUCUGGAGGCACCUGUGCCAGCACCCCAUGUAUACGUAAGACUUCACCAGGGAGCUGGGAGACACUGCUCUGGGUAUGGAGCUUUUACCAGAGCUGCAAACGCAGCCUGUGCCCCUGUUUCGUUGGGGAAUUGCUUGUUUUCAAGGGUACCAUGGAGCUGGAGAGAGAAAAGUGGGGAAUAGAACAAGUUAAAACACCACAGACUUUGCUGUUCUUAUAGAGGUUCAGCAGCUUUUCUUGAAUUAAUGCCCUUUAGAUUGUUGUAAACCUUUGGUUAACUUCCAAAGUUUUGAAGAAAAUGAUUUUGAUAAUUUUCCAAGUAUUUUCAUUGUCAUCAUGGAGGAGUGCAUUUCCUUGGCUAUUCCAGAAGUCCUACCUCCCUUCUGAGAUUUUAUAAUGGUAUUUCUUAUGGUUAUCCCAAAUAUACUUGGCAAGUCGUCUUAUAAACCACCAAUAAUAGCCUCUUAAAAAUUCAAAAAUUACUCCUCUUGGCUAACAAAAUAAAUGCAAAUUAAUUUAAUAAUUGUUGAAGAAAUUAAAUUUUUUAAAAUUAAAAAAUUGCAAUGUUGAAAUUCUCAACCAUGCUUAUCCAGACCUUUUCCUAUACUACUAACUGCCCUGGGCUUAUCUUAAAUACUUCUCAGAAGAUUUACUUGUUUUACACCAGGAUAGGCAAAGUAUGGCCCACAGUGUAUUUUUGGACUGUCUGCAAGCACAGUUGCUAUAAUUUUUAAAAGGCUGAAAACUUUAAAUUUUUGUAAAUAUGCUCAUUAACUGUUUAUUAGGCUUCAUUAAUUUUAAAAUAUACAGAGACUAUCCUAUUCAACUAUAUUUGUAUCCUAUUUCUAAUUCUCCUAACAAUUAUAUACACUGGCAAAAACUCUUCAGAUGAUAUAUAAGGAAAAGGUCAAAUAUACUACCGAAUUCAUCCAGCUUUCCAAAGAUGCUCAAAAUCUUUCUGUGUCUCUCACUCCCUCCCUUAACCCACAUACCACAUCUGAAAAAAAAUGAUAUGGUGUAACGAUGCCAGUAUUCUAAAUGCUUGAAGGGCUUAUCACAUGCCCUUUCCAAGCUGUGACAGAAGCAUGUCCCUUGGACCCCGGCAUCCUGUCAAUCUCACCUCUGAAGGUGACCCAGUCUCAUACUUCACUGAAACAAAGACCAUUAGACGCCAGCACUCCCGACUUCUUUUAUCUCCACUUUAACAUUUCUCCAUAUAGUAAUCCUCACUUUUCUACUCCCUGUCAUCUCAGAAAAGGAAUUCUCUCUCCUCUUUUCCACAGUUAGCUUCUCAAAUUUGUGCCUUUAAUUCUACCCCUCCCAAAUAUUCCAAGACUUGCUCCACUAAUUAUUUCCUCUCUUGGAAUCUUAAUCUCAUCCUCUUCCCUUGAUCCCUCCCCUCAGCCUUUAAAACUCCUAGACCUUAAAACACUCUCUGUGAUCUGACAGCCCUUCAAACCAAUAUACUCCCCAUCUCUCUCCCCUGGUUCAAUGGCAAGAUCUUUGGCCAACUGCUUUCUACUCGGACCUUGCUAUUAUUUGCUACUAGGCACCCACAAACCGUUGCUUGUUAAACUGAUCUCCUUCAAGACUUAAGAAAAGCGCCAUGCGGCUCCCUCCCAGGGCUCUCCUGCCCUCUCCUCACCGAUGCCAAGAGUGGUCCUGCUGGAGAACUGCCGCGCCUGCAGUUCGUGCACCUUUUCCCGAAGCUGCGCCAGGAAAUUAUGGACGAACUGGAAGGGGCCGAGAAGAAGGGUCUUGGCCCCCAACUGUAGCUCCAAGCCUUUUUGUGCUUUCAGAUUUCGGAUCCUCCGCGUGGAGCACCUUGGGGCGCCCCUUGGCAGGUUCCCGCCGCAUAGGGCCGACUUUUCCACCUCUGGCUCCAGGGCGGGAAGAUUGUAGCGGCUUUGAGCUUACUACUUGUUUUCUUAUAAUCCCUGGCGGAGCUGGGUCAAUUUCAGGCACAGCCCAGCUCAGUCAGGCGAGGUCCAGAAAGGCCUGACUUGCCUGGCAGCCUCAACGGACUUGUCCCCGCAGCCCUUGCGGACCUCCUGGUCGUCAUGGCGACUGUGAAAUGUGGGGUGGGGAGCAUGCGUUCGAAGCCAUUUGCGCGGGCAGUCCCUGCGUGUCCCCCCACGUGCUCCCCAGCACUCGCAGGACCCCCGCCUCCGAGCUUCCCUGAGCGUGCAGCUUCCAGUGAGGGCAGCCCCACGCACAGCCCCCCACACCCUCCCCAACGCCUUCAGCCCCCGGUGCGCGUAGUCCCCAAGCCCACACGUGCACUCUCCACCUUGCGGCAGCUGCACGUACAGCCCCCCACACGCUCCCAGCCCCACUGGCGCAGAACCCAUCACCGCUCGCCCUUCACGCGCUUCACUGGGAGUGCAGCCCCCACCCCGAGCGCGCAGCUCCACGCAGCCUCUCCACACUCUCCCCAGCGCCUGCAGCACCCCCAGUGCGCACAGCUCUGCCAGUCGCUUCCCCGCGUGCCGCCCCUGCACCACUUCGGGCCAUAACCUUGCUGGCGACUAAGUCUGAAGAACUUCCCGUGAUUUAAUUCUUUUCUUCGAGUUUAGUCUUAGCUUUGACAUUUUAACCAAAAGGUUACACGUUAAUUUAUGGUAUGAGGUCACCACUUCUCCUAUUGUCCUUCUCAGUUUCUCCCCAACCUCUCCUAUUCCCUAUUUUAUAAGACAGGAGAAAAGGGAGAAAGCAAAAAGUUAGAAAGAAACAGAAGUAAGAUAAAUAGCUGGAGGACCUUGGCACCACCACCUGGCCCUGGUGGCUAAAAUAAUAAUAAUAUUAUUAACCCCUGACCAAAACUAUUGGUGUUAUGUGUAAAUUCCAGACACUGUAUGAGAAAGUACUGUAAAACUUUUUGUUCUGUUAGCUGAUGUAUGUAGCCCCCAGUCACGUUUUUCACGCUUACUUGAUCUAUUAUGACUUUUUCACGUAGACCCCUUAGAGUUGUAAGCCCUUAAAAGGCCUAGGAAUUUCUUUUUCGGGGAGCUCCGCUCUUAAGACACGAGUCUGCCGACGCUCCCGGCCGAAUAAAAAACCUCUUCCUUCUUU
rnacentral:lncRNA from 1 species